CCCCUGUUCCAAAUAAGGUCCCAUUGUGAGGUACUGAGAGUUAGGACUUCAACACAUGAUUUUUGAGGGAGCGCAGUGAGAUCCACAACACAGUCACGCUGUGUGCCUUUCUGCAUGAUUUCUGUGUCCAGGACCUUGGCUUUCUCCUGCUUUCCUCUUCCUUAUAUCACACAGUUCUGGUUCCAAACUAGUAUUUAGUAAACCCACACCCACAGGUCACCUAUGGCAGUGCUCCGUAUUCUGAGCACAGCUGACUUCCCACCUUACAGUUCAGGCCCUGUGCUCUGGGAAGAAAGGAAGUUUGCUGUCUUAGGAACAUCCCAGACGAUAAGGAGCUAAGAGAACAACUUGUCUGAAGGACCCUUUGAUGACCCACUCAUCCUUCCUACACUCACGCUGUCUUUGCUUGUGUCUCCUUACUCACCGACUUUUCCUCUUAGCAAAUUCCUUCAGACAAAGAGUCUCCUACCUCCUUAAGCCCAGCCCGCCCCAAGAGAGGAUCUCGCAGGCAGGCCAUGCAUAGAGAUGAUCAGCAUGGGCACCGCAGAGCAAGGUUAAUGAAGAGAAGUUUUAAUUCUAUGGCCAUCUCCACACCCCCUCUCCAUUUAUAUUUUCAACAUAUGGCUGGCUUUUUAAUGUCGCUUUAAUGUUUUCUCUUGUAUUUAAUUAUUUAAAGAUUUAAUAAGAAACUGCUGAGAAUCAAUUGCACACAAGGGACACAUUUCUUUGAAUUUUUGUUCUUUUUUCUCUGCUUUUGCAUAAGAGUUAAUUUAAGUCAUUGGAAACUAAAAACACAAAGCUAAAAGGGGGAAAGAAGAGAACAACGUAAAGGCAUUCAGAAAAGGAUAUCUGUAGGUGAAAUCAAACCCCCAACGGCAUGUGAUGUGUAUCUCUUAUCAGCACUAGGCAGUGGCGAUAACCAAGGAACCCAAAACAAAUCACUUUCAUUCCAUUCGUGUCUAAUAAUAGAAAGUCAGUAGCUUAUAUGUCAAAAAUUUUCUUUUUAAAAUAAAUUCCUUUUGGGGUUGGUUCUGUGUGUUGGGGGCAAGGAAAUGGAAGGAUAUUCACCACUACAGGGGUCUAGUUUUAUUGACAGAGAAAGGGAAUUUUUAUAUCACUUUCAGAAUUUUAAAUGGUUUGUUGCUGAAUAUUUUAGGAUCUCCUUUCCACAUUUAUAACUAUUAUCUGAAUGAACUAAUCCAGUUAAGAAGGCAUUCAUUCAUUAACAUAUUCUGCUUAUGUGUUCUGAAUGACCAACUUUGCCAGACAAUAUGCCAGGUAUGAAGGAUCCAACCAGAAGAAAUGCCAACUCGACCCCUGCUUUCAUAGCCACUCACACCCACCCUUGGGGAGCAGAGUCACAAAGGACAGUUAUCGUGCGUGUGCUCUGAUGUGGGAAGGACAGGAUACUACAGAAGCCAAGGGAAAGGCACUCAAUCCAGAUUGGAAGGAAAGGGAAAUGCUUCCUGGAAGAAGACAUGGCUAUCACGAGACCUGAAAAAUGAAUAGGAACACAAAUGAUGAAGUGUGACCUCUGUUAUGUUCAUUUUGUCAAACUCUGUCAUAAACCUGAAAAUCAGCAUCAACAUGAUCUUCAUCAUCUUCAAACAGCACAUGGUAACAAGGAGUUGAUAUGGUCUGUGAUUUGCUGCAGGACAGCAUCCACAACAAACUGCGAACCACAGCACGGUGUAACAGAGUAGCCUCAAAUUUCCAUCAAAGGAAUGAGUUGUCUGAGGAAGCAAUGUGUUCCUCAUCCUUUAAGAGACUGAGGCAGCAAGGAGAAUGUUGGGGAAAGGAACUUUGGGCUGAAUUGAAGGUCAUCUCCGUGGAAUCGCCUCCGGCUGAGUUCAGUCCUCUCAGUAUGUUCCUUACUGCUGCCCUUCCAGGCUGUGCCACAACCACCCUCAUCCCUGCAGUCCAAAACACAAGAACUGGACACGUUUAACCUCCAAGAAAUACAAAUAGUGCCUAAUUCCAAGAGCUUUGGUGACCAUGAGCAAAAAAGAUGGAGUAAUAAAAGAGUCAAGGACCACACGGAGGCGACAUUUCCAGCCACCUGGCAUUGAGACACAGUCUUGUCCUGGAAUGUGCACAUCACCACUUUCUUUAAAGACCACAAAACCCUCCCAUUUUUGAUUUUUCCCUUUCUCUCCCCAUCCGCUGGCUGAAUGUGGAGAAUUCUGAGGUCCUAAAAGGGGAUGAGGCUGGAAGAUGGCAGGCAUCUGGAUCUCAAAAGAUCACGCACAUGCUAACAAGGAGCACCCACAUUGAACCAUUAGAUAAAUAAGAAAUCCUUUCUCUACCGAGCUGGGAAGUUGUCUCCUGGGUGUUCCACAGCUAUUGUGCUCAGGUCACUCUAAAAGGCUAUCUAUCCUGGAGGAAGCACUGUAAAAGAGGAGAAAAAGUAAAAUAUAGUAGCCAUGAGAGUAACAAGCAAACACUCCCCCAAUGGACAAUGAAUGUGACAUUUCUCCUGGUCUGUAUGAUCAGCAUGAAUCAAUUGUGCUUUUGAAGACACGGCCCUAAUCCAUACAUGUUAACUUGAGGAUUUACCUUUCCUCACAACGGUAUAGACAAGAUAAGUGGAGCAUAUGAAAGAGUGAGGGUAAAAUUAACCCACUUUUGGAGAUUCAGAAAGAACUACAGAAGGAAGCUCCCAUGAAUGCCCCAGGCAGAAGCUGCCAAAGGCUUCUGGAGAAAAUAGGCAAAAGAUAUUUAUGAGUUCUUUGGGAACAGGAACUGCUCACUUCCUUGGCAUAAGUGGAUAUAUAGAAGCAAUGACAGAUGGGAGCAGUAGUUUCUCAAAGGUGUAUGCAUGACAUCUCAGACUGUAUCUACGUUCUCUUUUAAGAGGAACAGCAACUUCUCAGCCCAGCUCUUCAGGAAAAGGACACAGAGGCCAUUUGGAUAAAUCAGCCCAGACUUUCACUCUAUAUCGACAAAGAUGAAGAUAUAAUCACUCAAGACCAAAAAUAAAGUAUGAUUGGAAGAUGUCGUUCUCCAGUGGGUUCCUUUUCUUUUGAAAAAUUAUGGUAGUCAAAUGCAUUCCAAAUCCACGGACUGAAGUGUCAAGAACUGUGAAAGGUCAGAGAUUUCCCCUACUUGCAAGGUGACAAGUUACCCAGCCACAGUUUCACAGACACUGGCAGAAGACAUGAGACUCCUAGAUCAGAGACAAAGGACUUUACAACUUACAGCAUAGCAGGCAGCAUGCACUUUGUUUUUAUGUCAGUGCCCCUCUCCCUCCCAACCCUACAUGGCAUGGAGACAAUAUGGAACAGCCCAGGUGGAUGCUGAGCAUGCAGUGGGUGGCAUUACAGCUGAGGAAGCUCAAGCUUAGG
rnacentral:lncRNA from 1 species